UACGAAGGGGGCUAGCGUUGCUCGGAAUCACUGGGCGUAAAGAGCUCGUAGGCGGCUUGUCACGUCGGUUGUGAAAGCCCGGGGCUUAACCCCGGGUCUGCAGUCGAUACGGGCAGGCUAGAGUGUGGUAGGGGAGAUCGGAAUUCCUGGUGUAGCGGUGAAAUGCGCAGAUAUCAGGAGGAACACCGGUGGCGAAGGCGGAUCUCUGGGCCAUUACUGACGCUGAGGAGCGAAAGCGUGGGGAGCGAACAGG
rnacentral:rRNA from 1 species